rnacentral:rRNA from 1 species
ACUCCUACGGGAGGCAGCAGUGGGGAAUAUUGCACAAUGGGCGCAAGCCUGAUGCAGCCAUGCCGCGUGUGUGAAGAAGGCCUUCGGGUUGUAAAGCACUUUCAGUCGUGAGGAGGUAGUGUAGUUAAUAGCUGCAUCAUUUGACGUUAGCUGCAGAAGGAAGCACCGGGCUAACUCCGUGCCAGCAGCCGCGGUAAUACGGAGGGUGCGAGCGUUAAUCGGAAUUACUGGGCGUAAAGCGCAUGCAGGUGGUUUGUUAAGUCAGAUGUGAAAGCCCGGGGCUCAACCUCGGAA